ACACGUAGGGGGCAAGCGUUGUUCGGAAUUAUUGGGCGUAAAGGGCAUGUAGGCGGUUUCGUAAGCCUGGUGUGAAAUCCUGCAGCUUAACUGUAGAAUGGCAUUGGGUACUGCGAGACUUGAAUCACGGAGGGGAAACUAGAAUUCCAGGUGUAGGGGUGGAAUCUGUAGAUAUCUGGAAGAAUACCGGUGGCGAAGGCGGGUUUCUAGCCGAUGAUUGACGCUGAGGUGCGAAAGUGCGGGGAGCAAACAGGAUUAGAUACCCUGGUAGUCCGCACCGUAAACGAUGUACACUAGGUGUAGGGGCAUGAGUCUCUGUGCCAAAGCUAACGUGAUAAGUGUACCGCCUGGGAAGUAUGCCCGCAAGGGUGAA
rnacentral:rRNA from 1 species